rnacentral:rRNA from 1 species
ACUCCUACGGGAGGCAGCAGUGGGGAAUAUUGCACAAUGGGCGCAAGCCUGAUGCAGCCAUGCCGCGUGUGUGAAGAAGGCCUUCGGUUGUAAAGCACUUUCAGUCGUGAGGAAGGUAGUGUAGUUAAUAGCUGCAUUAUUUGACGUUAGCGACAGAAGAAGCACCGGCUAACUCCGUGCCAGCAGCCGCGGUAAUACGGAGGGGUGCGAGCGUUAAUCGGAAUUACUGGGCGUAAAGCGCAUGCAGGUGGUUUGUUAAGUCAGAUGUGAAAGCCCGGGGCUCAACCUCGGAAUAGCAUUUGAAACUGGCAGACUAGAGUACUGUAGAGGGGGUAGGAAUUUCAGGUGUAGCGGUGAAAUGCGUAGAGAUCUGAAGGAAUAACCGGUGGCG